GUGUGGAUAGGAAAUGAGAAAGGAUGAGAAAAAAAACGAAACUUUAGGGCAUUAGCACUCUCAAUUUGGUAGUUCAUGGUGGUUGAGGUAUUGAUGUCAAUGGCAAAAUUGUAAAUAUUUGGUGAAGAUGAGGAUGGUAAGGUAAAAGCCAUAUUUUCAAAAACAAAAAAAAAAUAAUGGCAUUUUCUUGAAUAACUAGAACUUCUAGGGUGAAUAGGACAAAACAAAGUUUCA
rnacentral:lncRNA from 1 species